rnacentral:rRNA from 1 species
ACGGGUGAGUAAUGCCUAGGAAUCUGCCUGGUAGUGGGGGAUAACGUCCGGAAACGGGCGCUAAUACCGCAUACGUCCUGAGGGAGAAAGUGGGGGAUCUUCGGACCUCACGCUAUCAGAUGAGCCUAGGUCGGAUUAGCUAGUUGGUGGGGUAAAGGCCUACCAAGGCGACGAUCCGUAACUGGUCUGAGAGGAUGAUCAGUCACACUGGAACUGAGACACGGUCCAGACUCCUACGGGAGGCAGCAGUGGGGAAUAUUGGACAAUGGGCGAAAGCCUGAUCCAGCCAUGCCGCGUGUGUGAAGAAGGUCUUCGGAUUGUAAAGCACUUUAAGUUGGGAGGAAGGGCAGUAAGUUAAUACCUUGCUGUUUUGACGUUACCAACAGAAUAAGCACCGGCUAACUUCGUGCCAGCAGCCGCGGUAAUACGAAGGGUGCAAGCGUUAAUCGGAAUUACUGGGCGUAAAGCGCGCGUAGGUGGUUCAGCAAGUUGGAUGUGAAAUCCCCGGGCUCAACCUGGGAACUGCAUCCAAAACUACUGAGCUAGAGUACGGUAGAGGGUGGUGGAAUUUCCUGUGUAGCGGUGAAAUGCG